rnacentral:tRNA from 3 species
GCGCCCGUAGCUCAACGGAUAGAGCAUCUGACUACGGAUCAGAAGGUUGGGGGUUCGAAUCCCUCCGGGCGCACC